rnacentral:rRNA from 1 species
UACGUAGGGAGCGAGCGUUGUCCGAAUUUACUGGGCGUAAAGCGCGCGUAGGCGGGUUUUUAAGUUGGGGGUGAAAUGCCGAGGCUUAACCUCGGAACUGCCUCCAAAACUGGAAGCCUUGAGGUAUGGAGAGGGAAGUGGAAUUCCAGGUGUAGCGGUGAAAUGCGUAGAUAUCUGGAGGAACACCCGUGGCGAAGGCGGCUUCCUGGCCAUAUCCUGACGCUGAGGUGCGAAAGCUAGGGGAGCGAACGGGAUUAGAUACCCCGGUAGUCCUAGCCGUAAACGAUGGAUACUAGGUGUUAGAGGUAUCGACCCCUCUAGUGCCGGAGCUAACGCAUUAAGUAUCCCGCCUGGGGAGUACGACCGCAAGGUUGAA